rnacentral:rRNA from 2 species
GGAAAGUUGAAAAGUACUUUGAAGAGAGAGUAAACAGUGCGUGAAACCGCUCAGAGGUAAACGGGUGGAGUUGAACUGCUUGUUCUGUGAAUUCAGCUGGUGACUGUAUUAUGAUCUUGGUUAUAUUGAUUGGACAGCGGGGUCUGUGUAGCAGCAGGUCUUUGCCUUCGGGUGAGGAUGCGCGAUUUACUUAUCAAGUAAUGUGCGCCUCGUUUGUUCUUCGAAUCGGUUGCCAGUGCACUUUCUCAGAGCGCUCAUCACGACCGGCACUGCUGUCUGGCUGUUGUGGUUAAACCGAUUUGGCAUAGUUCUUGUAGCUUUGUCGAAUCGGGAUGGCAGGUAGCUCGUUGGCUUGCUUGUGGUUCGCUGCAGGUGUUUGGCUUUCGGGUGUAAUCAGCUGACCAUGAUGGUUCUGUACAGUGUGUCGGAGACAGCGGCUUGUGGUGUGUGCAUGUGUGGUGGUUUGCAGGCAUCUCUGGGUUUGGUUGCCUUGUUCGCUUGUCAAAGCAAGCCUGGCAAUAGCCUUGAGACGUUCUGUGGACUGCUGCAUGUGUGACAUCUUCACAGGGCCGACAGUCUGUGAUGUUGUGGUAGACUAUCCACCUGACCCGUCUUG